GUUGGGCGUCUUCUAAGUCUUACUCCUGGGCUGGACAAAGCUUUGAGAAUUGAUGGGCUCUCAUAUCCAGUGACCAAAAGAAGGCCUUGUUCACAUUAAAACGACGGCGUUUCUCUUGAUGAAAAAUAACGCACAAAUAAAUCCCUUUCCAGAAAGAGAUGGCUGUUUUUUUUCUUCCUUCAGUUUUGAGGCUCCAAAUUUUAGUUAGAAGAGGCUUUUGCAGUUUGGUAUUUUAGUUGCUUUGGCGUCGGGCCUCUCGGCGAUCCUCAUCUGUAUCACCGGCGUAUCCAAUCUAAAUGUGAUCAACCAGCUGUUGAAUGAAGAUAUAGAAGCAUUGGAGUCUCUACAGAGCAGUUUCCUGAAGUGCGUGGUAAUUCUUUGGAGCUCACUGUUGUAUAUUUCAAAUGCAUCUUCAGUGCUAUAAAAGAUCCUAAAACUGGAGAACUUGAAGGUUUAUCAUUUGAAUUUAAUCUGUGUGAAGCUGUGGUUACAUGGGAACAGGUGCAGAAUAGUACUACUAUACUCACAAGGGAGUUCAUUGUUGCUUUACCAAAUGGAUGGGAGGACUAUGCGUGGCACAGGUUUAAUAAGGGGAUACUUAUGUGAUCUUUUGAAGACAAAGUUUGGGAAGGAAAUAGAUGGCUAUGAUGCUGUUGUCAGAGAAAAUGGUGCCCUCAUAUGGAACUAUACAGAGUAUGUUGGCAAGAAAAGUGCAUUUCAUCUCCUUAACAGGGGAUCGGCCAAAGCCCUUGAUAAAGUUGUGGAGUUAGAUUAAACAAGGAAGGAGGCCCUUAUAAUCAAAACAACAAUAAAUGACAUUAUGAACAAGAUGAUUCGGGAAGUUCCAAUAAACAUUCCUGUGUAUCUCAUGUUAGGUGCAUCCUUUGGUUCAGCAGUGAAGGGAAUUGGCCUCAAGGCUCUAGAAUUUGCUCUUUAUAUUUGUGAGUCAGUUGAUAUGUAUGGUUUUACUGUGGAUCCAGGAUACAAGGAAUGGACCAUAUAUUUCUCAGAGUCUAGACAAGGUCACACUCCUCUGCAUGGAAGGGCUUAUUACCAGAUGAUGGAGUGUUUGGGUCUUAUUAAAAUCCAUUCUCCAAUGUGAGCUGAUCCAAAUCAUGUUGUGCAAUGGGUACCAAGCUCCAGUACAAUUAGAGCAGCUAGAGUUGCAUCAGAGAAAUUGUUGAGGUAGCCUGUCACAACUUUUAUUUCAUAGUUUUAUUGAUUUUCAUUAAAUAUUUUCUAUGAAAUAGCUAGAAAUAUAUUACAGAUGUACCAUGUAAUUUUUAUUUUUCUUAAAUCUGAUCCAGAUGCGCAAUUAUUAAUCCUGCAACACAAUUGCCUAUGUAUGAUGCUUGGAGAAUUUAGGCUGCUAUAGUUAAAUGGCCAUUGAAGUUAUAAGAAUUUCAAGCAGUGGAUGUAAUUAGAAUUGUUAUUGGGAUGGAUUUUUUUAUGAAAUGGUCUUGUUAAGUGUGGAACUUGUUCCAAAGUCAAUGAUCACUAACUUAUUUUAGUGGUUUUCUUCUCUGUGGUGGUUUGUCAAAGAUAGAUGCUUUGACAUUAGAAUAUUAUUAGGCUUUUACAAAGAGAAAUCUAGUGAUGGAAAAAAAAAAUCAUUUUUCUUGGAAGUGUUAGAGAUGAUGGUUUAAUACUUUUCAUUAGUAUUGUUUUAUGUGGAAAACAAUCUCGGUUGUCUCACAGUUUACGAUUGUAAGGGCUUAUCAGAUAUUGAGUAUAUCUCUGAAUUUGCGCUCUGACUUCUAAACCGAACGAUUGUGGAAACUGAUUGUGCUGUCCGCAGCUUCGUUAUUCUCACAAUUAAUUGAAAGUAAGUUAACUGGAAUUGAAUGCUUUGAUUAAUUGAUUGAAAAGAAAAUACAGGCUUUGAAAUUAAAUGCGAAAGUUUGAAAAAUAAAUGGCUGAUAAAAAUAAGAUAAAAGACUACAUAGCUCUCCUUGUAGGUAUCUGGAAGACUGGAAGAUACCUUCUCAUAUUCUGUAGUUACCUGUCCACUCCUUAAAAUUGUUUGGAGCUGUUGUUAACCUCUUAUCUUCAGAUAACCAUUUAAUAACUUUCCAGAUAUUUACUUCAUAAUUAUCUUAGGCCAUAGAAUAAUUAAAUUAAUAAAAUAAAGUUAAUUAAAGACCUCUGCUCUUCGGUAUGAGAACCAAGCUCUAUGAAUAUCAGAUAGCGUAGCUAGUUCUUGGCUGCUAUGACUGUAAUGUCAAAUGGCCUAGUUGCAAGGUGAGCAUUGGAUCUGCCAUAAAACUGGGCCAAAAUAUAGAAGUCAAGAUCCUAGAGAAGAUUAACUACAUCAACCAAGGGGGGUAGCUCUCUGGCUCGAAAGAGCAGAGGAGCUAGGGGUGGAGGAAGUCACAGGAGCUGGAGCCGAAAUAGCAGGUACCUGCAAAAAAAAAGGUAAUUACCAGCUUAGAAUAGAAAGUUAAUUCAGUUAAUAGUAAGUGUAUACUUUAGGAGAAGUAGGCGAAGGGAUAUCUCCUAGAGAAUCAUCAUCUCCAAUAUUUGCUGCCUCAUGUGUAGCAUGAUCACUCUGAGAAGUGGUCGUGCCUUGUGUCUCCUCGUGAGUCCCAGAAUAUCUCUGAAAAGAAGUAUUGCCCGUAAACGAUGUGUCAGCACUUGAAGAAAUCUCUAGAUUAAUAUCAUUGGUGUCAGAAACUUCUACGAUAAUAGCUGGAGUGGCCUGAGGCUUUCUAGCCUUAGGUACAUGACGUUGGAGCGCCUAAAGGGAGGCAGUGACGAUCCUUCUUGCUAUCUCUUCGGGGAGAGAGGAGACUUCCUAAUUUUGGGCCUGUACAUCUUGGCUGGUGCCUUGGUCUUCUUGGAUGGAGGAAGCUGUGACUGGGAAGGUGCAUUUUCCAGCUUCCUGGAGGGAGGUUUGGGUCUAAAGAAGUUUGCCUUCUGGGCUAUAGCAGCAGAGGAAGUGCGUGAUAUAAAACCUGGAAAAAGCUGUAGAGAUUAGUGAAAGAAUGAGUAUAAUAGGAUAAAAACCAGAAAAAAGUAGGUACCUGUGGACAAAGGUUUGACAACGGUUUCAUGAAACCUGAAGGACCACCAGCUCUGAAAAGUGCGGCAUAAAAGGUCAAUAACCUCUAUCACCCCACAAAAAUAGUCUCCCAUAGAAGUUCAAAUUUUUACCAUAAAAAUGUUGUCAAGUGAGGUUCAUGGUCGGGGCAGCCUUGCGGGGAGAGGGGAGGAAAUGUGGGUGUAGAUGUAGCCUAUGUGGAU